rnacentral:lncRNA from 1 species
UUUGGUAAUAAGUGAAUGGUGUUAAAACUAUAGUUUAUACAUAAACAAUAGGUAAUUUAAUAAAUUAUAAUUAUAAUAUAAUAAAUAAAAAAUUAUAUAAUUGUAUCCCUAUAUAACUAAAAAAAUAUAAUUUUUUAUACCUAAAUUAUAAUAAAACAAUAAUAAAAUCAUAUAAUAAAAGAAAACAGUAAUACUCAAUUAAUCAAUUUUUAUAAUAUUUUAAAUAUGCAAAUUAACUAAAUAAAAGAGAUACUAUAACUUAACUGAUCAAUUUUCAUUACAUUUAUCGCGCAAGUGGUAAAGGACUUGAUAGUUGAUACCCGACAUCCUAAAUUCAAAAUAUAAAUUACUUCACAUUUCCAGCUAAGUUUAUUUCUAAAAAAAAAUAAAUGAAACAGAUAGCAUCCUACCUUUCUUUCACUAAAUGAGAGAGUAAUGAAAUAUAACUAGUAUUUACACAUUGUAUUAUUUUAUUAUUUUUUUAAUUGUUAAAGUUAAUUAUUAAUUAUAUUGUUUGGAGUAACUCGAGCUUCGACUGUAUCUUCUUCUGACGAAUAAAAUAAUUUUUUACAGCAGAAGAUAACUUUACUCUU